UCCCCGUUCACCUGUGUUGCGGUUCCCUUUCGGGCACCGAGGUAUCUCUACCCCGUUCCGCACAUGUCAAGGGUAGGUAAGGUUUUUCGCGUUGCAUCGAAUUAAUCCACAUAAUCCACCGCUUGUGCGGGUCCCCGUCAAUUCCUUUGAGUUUUAGCCUUGCGGCCGUACUCCCCAGGCGGUCAACUUCACGCGUUAGCUUCGUUACCAAGGAAUUACUUCCCCGACAACCAGUUGACAUCGUUUAGGGCGUGGACUAC
rnacentral:misc_RNA from 1 species